UUCAAUCAAGUUUUUAAUUUUUGAAUCUUAUUAUUUUUAUCUAAUUUUUUUGUUAAGCUCUAAAAUUAGUGUUUCUUUUUAUUUGAUAUCUAAAACUUUUCCUUAUAAAAAAAUUAUGAGCUCAAGAUUAAGGUGGGUAAAAUUGCAGUAACAAUUUGGAUUGACUUUUCAACUUUUGUAUUAAUCAUUUUCUGUAAUAUGAAUUGUGAAAUCUAUGAAUUAAUCUUAGUCUUGUUUAUGAUUUUGAAUUACUGUUGGAGUUGAUAGAAGUUAUACAACUGAAAACCUAAAUUACUCUUUGUCUCUUCAAAAAUUCAAUUUGGAUCUCCUACAAUAAUCCCUAACAUAUUAAAUUGCUCUUCUUUAGUCCAUGUAAUUAGAUCUAAUGUCUUCUUCUUUGUCAUAUAAGCCUUUUGAGUAAUGGUACAAUUAUGAGCCCUCAUCGCAUAAAAAUUUGAAAUUCUUUUACUCCCUAACUUAUAUUAAUUCUAAAUCCUUCUAUGUACUUCUUUGUUAAAAAAUCAGAGUCGAUAGUCUUGUUAUCUACUUAAUUUCCACAAGAAUUGCUCAGGGUCUAUUGUCUUGAUCUUGAAAGGUUCAUCUUGACCAACCUUUCAUGCAAAUAUGAACCAUUUGCAAUUUGACACCUUACAAGAUGCCCUUGAUCUUGUGCUUUCAUUCUUUUUGAACUUGAUGUCUUUUUUUUUUUAAAACAAGAAUUGUACCUCAACUGCCCACUUGCUAUUACUAAAAUCAUAAAAAGUGCAAACUUAAAUUUUGAAUCCUCCAAAUUCUUGGUUGGAUUAAAAACAAUGGAUCUUUGAAGAUAUUCAUCACUCGAAUCUCCAUGUAAACUCAUUAACUCCUCAUCUGAUGUAGCACAAUCGUCUUGAGUGUCGCUACGAAACAUAGUUAUCUUUAUUUUUCCCAUUGAAAUCAAACCAUUCUACUGUAGAGUCAAUGGUUUUAUCAAAAUCACAUCAUGAGUUUUCAUCUCCCUUGCAAUAAUCAUAAUAAGCGAUAUAUCCAUCAACAUAGUUCAUCACUGGAUCAAAAACCCACCAACAUUUAUAAUGUAGUUAGAUAGUGUUCAUAUAUUUGAGUAUUCACUUGCAUUUUUUGUGCGAAAGAAAAAGUAGAACAUGUUAAGAUGAUUGUAGAGAAAAGGUAAUAUAGUAAUUACAUUACUAGAAUUCUGUUAUAACAGAUUAUGUAGUAGUUAGUUAGAGUGGUCAAUCAGUUAGUCUAUAAAUAGUAUUAGAUACACUAUAUGUAAUUGAUUCUGUAUUCAUUGUAAUCAAUAAACAUAGGCAGUUAUUAACUCUCUAUGUUAAGCUCUAAGAAUCAUCUAGAAGGUCUUCAUUACUUCUUCAAUGUAGGUUUUUUCAUGGUAUCAGAGCUACAGUUAGGGUGAUUUGAUCUUCAAAAGUUGAGUAGUGAAGUUGCUUGAACUUGAUUUCUGCAAAAGCUCCCCAAAAUUCCUGCAAAAGUUUUUUUUAGAAUCUCUAAGGAUCAACAAUAGUGGAAUUGGAGGUUACAGAUCCUCGACAUUCUCUAUCUUUGUUACCAUUAGAUAACCCUGGAAAUGUAAUAAUCUCUGUUCAACUCAGUGGAUCAGAGAAUUACUCGAUUUGGAUCAGAUCAAUUAAGAUUGCAUUGCGAGCCAAACGAAAAUCAGGAUUCAUUGAUGGAACAUGCAAGAAGAGUUCGUUCAAGGAUGAUCUAGCAGAAGAAUGGGAAUGAGUGAAUGCAACAGUCUUGACUUGGAUUAUGAAUACAGUUUCGAAAGAGCUGUAAAUGGGAUUGUUUAUAAAGACAAUGCUCAUGUUGUGUGGAUGGAUCUACAGGAGCGAUUUGAUAAGGCAAAUGGAUCGAGGAUCUAUAAUUAUCAUAGAGAAAUAGCCACAAUUUCUCAAGGUAGUUCUGAUAUCUCUGCUUAUCAUUUGAGAUUGCAUCUGUUAUAGGAUGAGUAUUGUUCAUUAGUGCCUUCCGUAUGUGGAUGUCUUGCAUAAAAGGAUUUUAAGAUUCAUCUAGAACAACAGAAACUAUUUCAGUUCAUAAUGGGUUUAAAUGAAUCCUACAGUGCUAUUAGAAGUCAGAUCUUGCUUAUGAUGCCAUCUCCCUUUGUUAGCCAACAUGUUAUGCUUGUGCAUGAGGAGAGUCAAAGAAAGAUCUGCGAAACUAGUUCAGGGGUAAGAAAUGAGUUGAAUGAAAGUACAUCCUUACAAGGUAUUCAGGAAAAUCAGUCACGAAGAAGAAAAUCCAACAGUAACAAUAACUAUGGCAACAAUUAUGGAGGUAAUAGUAGUUCAUUUUGGUGAGAUCUGUCAAAGGAAAGGCCAUCAUGAAGGUAAUUGCUAUAGGGUAAUAGGCUAUCCAACAGGCUACAAGGGAAAGAAAAAACCACUCAUCAAACUUAACCACAAUGUCAUGGGUGAGAACAAUUGGGGACAAUUAAGACAAGCAAAUAUGAUUGCACAUGAUUAUGUCAAUGACAAAGAAGAUAACAUUCAACACAAAGGGACUGUUCAAGGAUCUUCUAAAAGUUCUCAUAAUGCCUGCAAGCAACAACUAUACCCUCAAAGAUCCAAUUUCACACAGCAUGCUGGAAACAAUUGUGGUGGUAAUAUUCAGAGAUCUCAAUGUCAUUCAAGAGUUCAGCUUGAUAUCAACAAAUGAGAAAAAUACUUCACAGGUGAACAAUAUAACCAGAUAAUGAAUAUGCUUGACAAAGGCAAGGGAAUAGAGUUGGCUGGGAGCAUAGCAAGUAAUGCUUAUUAUAAUUCCCCUUAUAUAAAACCUGGUAAGCCUUGGAUAAUAGAUAGUGGGGCAACAGAUCACAUGACUAACAAUCUGGAUUUAUUGAAUAACUUGAGUAAUAUGCAUGAUCCCAUGAAGAGUAGUAUAUAUCUACCAAAUGGUAAGAAUGUGUCAGUUCAUUAUCAAGGCAGUUGUAAUAUUUCAUAUGAUUAUACCAUUGAAAAUGUGUUGCAUGUGCCUGAAUUCAUAUACAAUCUGUUGUCAGUCUCAAAGAUGACAAAAGUGUUGCAAUGCUCAGUGUUCUUCUUUCCACAUUUUUGUGUUUUCCAGGAUAUAUGUACCGGGAAAGUGAAGGGCAUUGGUAAAGAGAAAGGAGGUCUCUAUCUCCUCUCUCCUAGAACUAGUGAGGAAGCUAUUGAUAAAAUGGCAAAUGCUAGUAGCAACAUUUCAGAAAAAUUGUCUGAAGAUGUGCAAGUUUGACAUAAGAUGUUGGGUCAUGUACCUGCUAUUGUGAUGAAUAAUCUCCAUUUCCUAAAUAAUAAAGUGACACUUUGUAGUUAUAAUGAUUGUAGUGUUUGUCCCUUAGCCAGAAAAACCAGAAAACCAUUUCCUAUUAGUGUUUCUAGAGUAACUGAUGUUUUCCAUUUAUUACACAUUGAUGUAUGGGGUCCUUAUAGAGUCCCUAAUAUUAAUGGUCAUAGGUACUUUGUCACUAUUGUGGAUGAUAAUUCUAUGAGAUAUGGGUUUUCUUAAUGAAACUCAAAAGUGAUUCAUGUGUGUUACUUAUCAUUUGUCAAAAUGGUUCAUGUUCAGUUUAUCAAGCAGGUGAAAAUGAUCAGGACUGAUAAUGGUGCUGAGUUUUUUAGUAAAGAAUUUUCAGAUUUCUUGGUCGAGCAUGAUAUUGUACACCAAAGUAGUUGUCCACACACUCCACAACAAAAUGGAGUGGUGAAAAGAAGACACAUACAUUCUAGAGGUGGCAAGGGUACUCAUGUUUCAAGGUUGUCCUAACUCAAGAAAGUCUGUAACUGGUGACACUGUGAAUCUUGGUCAAUCCUUGAUAUCAUGGAAAUUGAAAAGCAAAACACAGUAGGUAGGAGUUCAGCAGAAUCUGAAUACAGAAGUAUGGCUUUAAUAGUGUCUGAGUUGAUAUGGCUGAUUAGUUUUAUUCAAAUGUUAGGUGUUGAUGUUCCUAGACCAAUUCAGUUGUUUAAACACUGUAAGUCAGCCAUGCACAUAGCAAAUAAUCCAGUGUUUCAUGAGAGAACAAAGUACAUAGAGAUUGAUUGUCAUUUCAUAAGGAAGAAGGUGCAACAAGGUUUGGUACAUCCAGAGUAUUUCUAAACAACUGAUCAAGAGGCA